rnacentral:rRNA from 1 species
GGCGGACGGGUGAGUAAUGCCUAGGAAUCUGCCUGAUAGUGGGGGACAACGUUUCGAAAGGAACGCUAAUACCGCAUACGUCCUACGGGAGAAAGCAGGGGACCUUCGGGCCUUGCGCUAUCAGAUGAGCCUAGGUCGGAUUAGCUAGUUGGUGAGGUAAUGGCUCACCAAGGCGACGAUCCGUAACUGGUCUGAGAGGAUGAUCAGUCACACUGGAACUGAGACACGGUCCAGACUCCUACGGGAGGCAGCAGUGGGGAAUAUUGGACAAUGGGCGAAAGCCUGAUCCAGCCAUGCCGCGUGUGUGAAGAAGGUCUUCGGAUUGUAAAGCACUUUAAGUUGGGAGGAAGGGCAUUAACCUAAUACGUUAGUGUUUUGACGUUACCGACAGAAUAAGCACCGGCUAACUUCGUGCCAGCAGCCGCGGUAAUACGAAGGGUGCAAGCGUUAAUCGGAAUUACUGGGCGUAAAGCGCGCGUAGGUGGUUUGUUAAGUUGAAUGUGAAAGCCCCGGGCUCAACCUGGGAACUGCAUCCAAAACUGGCAAGCUAGAGUAUGGCAGAGGGUGGUGGAAUUUCCUGUGUAGCGGUGAAAUGCGUAGAUAUAGGAAGGAACACCAGUGGCGAAGGCGACCACCUGGGCUGAUACUGACGCUGAGGUGCGAAAGCGUGGGGAGCAAACAGGAUUAGAUACCCUGGUAGUCCACGCCGUAAACGAUGUC